UGGGGAAUAUUGGACAAUGGGCGCAAGCCUGAUCCAGCAAUGCCGCGUGAGUGAUGAAGGCCUUAGGGUUGUAAAGCUCUUUCGCACGCGACGAUGAUGACGGUAGCGCGAGAAGAAGCCCCGGCUAACUUCGUGCCAGCAGCCGCGGUAAUACGAAGGGGGCUAGCGUUGUUCGGAAUUACUGGGCGUAAAGGGCGCGUAGGCGGCCUGUUUAGUCAGAAGUGAAAGCCCCGGGCUCAACCUGGGAAUAGCUUUUGAUACUGGCAGGCUUGAGUUCCGGAGAGGAUGGUGGAAUUCCCAGUGUAGAGGUGAAAUUCGUAGAUAUUGGGAAGAACACCGGUGGCGAAGGCGGCCAUCUGGACGGACACUGACGCUGAGGCGCGAAAGCGUGGGGAGCAAACAGAUUAGAUACCCUGGUAGUCCACGCCGUAAACGAUGAAUGCUNGACGUCGGGGUGCAUNCACUUCGGUGUCGCCGCUAACGCAUUAAGCAUUCCGCCUGGGGAGUACGGCCGCAAGGUUAAAACUCAAAUGAAUUGACGGGGUCAUAGCUGUUUCCU
rnacentral:rRNA from 1 species